rnacentral:rRNA from 1 species
AGUAAAGUGGCGCACGGGUGAGUAAUGCAUAGGAACGUGCCUUUUAGUGGGGAAUAACCACGGGAAACCGUAGCUAAUACCGCAUGACCUCGCAAGAGAAAAGGUGGCCUCUACUUGUAAGCUACCGCUAAAAGAGCGGCCUAUGUCCCAUUAGCUAGUUGGUAGGGUAAAAGCCUACCAAGGCAACGAUGGGUAGCUGGUCUGAGAGGAUGAUCAGCCACACUGGAACUGAGACACGGUCCAGACUCC